rnacentral:tRNA from 1 species
GGCUCGGUAGCUCAGUUGGUAGAGCAAUGGAUUGAAUCUCCAUGUGUCGGCGGUUCGAUUCCGUCUCGCGCCA